rnacentral:rRNA from 1 species
CCUACGGGAGGCAGCAGUGAGGAAUAUUGCGCAAUGGAGGCAACUCUGACGCAGCCAUGCCGCGUGCAGGAAGACGGCCCUACGGGUUGUAAACUGCUUUUAUCCGGGAAGAAACCCCUCGACGUGUCGAGGGUUGACGGUACCGGAGGAAUAAGCACCGGCUAACUCCGUGCCAGCAGCCGCGGUAAU